ensembl:lncRNA
AUGUUCACUCAGACCUCAUCUGUAAUAGCAAAAUCGUCUCCCUACACCACUGAAGUACCAUCAACAUCUCCUGUUACAUUGACUGUUACUUCUGAAAUUGAGGUGGAGGACAUUGGCAGUGAAUCUACAAUGGUGGAGUCCAUUUCUCUCAUCAGUGAAUCAACCAUGACGCUUGAAACAUCAUCAUUCCCCAUAACCAUAGAUUCAGAUAGUUCUGGGGACAGCACUGAUAAUUUCACUGAAGAGUUUCAUAGUAAAACAACUACAGUGUCUUCAUCUUGGACUACAGAGUCACCAUCAGUGACAGCUUCCAGUCAAACUCAAACAAGUAAUACUUCAACAUCAACUGUUACCAUAGCAUCAUCACUCUACAGUACUGAGAAACCAACAUCAGAAUCAACUGAAACAAAAGAAAGUGUAUCAACAAGUCAAACUGAGAAACUAUCAGCUUCAGCAAAGACAACUUCUACCUUGUCAACGACAGAUGAAGAUGGAUCCGGUGACCAAACAGAAAACAUGUUCACUCAGACCUCAUCUGUAAUAGCAAAAUCGUCUGCCUACACCACUGAAGUACCAUCAACAUCUCCUGUUACAUCGACUGUUACUUCUGUAAUUGAGGUGGAGGACAUAGGCAGUGAAUCUACAAUGGUGGAGUCCAUUUCUCUUAUCAGUGAGUCAACCAAGACACCUGAAACAGCACCAUACCCCGUAACCCCAGAUUCAAAUCGUUCUGCAGAUGAGUUCACAGAUGCUACCCAGUUUUCUAACACUAUUAAGGCAUUGACGGCAUCAGAAUCUGAGUCAGGAAGUGGUGACGUUCCUGAUGUACAGGGCUUGGGAGAUGAAACUUCCUCAGAAACAGCAUCCCUUCAUUCCUCAGUGGAACAUAGCACCGUAUUAAUGACAACAUAUAGUCCAUUAGUUACAACCACGUUCAUCGAAGAGAAAAGCUCAAGUGAUAGAGAAUUUUUGACAGUCACAACAAUCCCAUAUAGAUUUGAAACCUCUCAACCGUUGGCAGUACCCAGUGUCACUGUAUACCACUCGAAGGAAACCUCUACUUUUAUCGAUAUGGAGAGCUCUGGUGGCUUACUUGCUGAGGAUGAUUUGGAGUCAAGUUCAGACGGAUCUGGUACAGAUGUAUCCGUUGAGACUACAUCCAAACCACAAGAAGAAGGUACUGUGGCAACAGAUGAGACUGAAAUAGAUGAAACCGACAGAACAUCUGCCAUGUCAACCGCUGCAUCUUCAACUCUCUCCAGUACACAUCCUAUAAGGCAAUUUAUACCAUCAACCCAAUCACCACACAUUACAAGCACUGAGGUCUACAAUAUUGAGCACGGCAGUGGAGUUUUCCCUGAUGACUCUGCAGAAGGUGAAAGUUCUGGUGCUGACCUUUUCAUUGGAUUAACUACAUUUAAACCAAUCCCAAGUUCUCCAGUGAUGCCCACUGCUACAGGCUCAAACGAAAUGAUUUUUUCAUCUAGUGCUGCUGCUGUCAGUCAGGAGGGAUUUACCGACCAAACGACGGAUCUGUCCAACGACAAUGUUAUAACACAAAGAACGAUUGCCGCUUCUUCUGUUUACAGCAUUGAUAAUCUAACAGCAACAUCUCCUGAAAUGCACACACUCCAAACAACUGAGACCUCAAAGUCAUUAGUGGACAGCGUCACAUUUGGAGAAGCAACCGGCGAAACUGAAACCUUUGUGUCAGUCACACCAACCUCUGAUGAGCAGGUUUCCUCAGAGGAAGGCAAAAUUACUCCAGAAACACACAGCCCCACCGCUUCUGAAGCUUCGACGCUUCCUCUUUCUAGCAUUGGAGAAUAUAAAGUUAGUGUAGCUGAGGACACAACGCAAUCCUCCUAUACAACUAUGUCUCCCUGGACAAUUGGAGUUUCAGUGAGUGAUCGCUCUACGGUUGAACUCACCACUUUAAGCUCUAUGAGUGAACAAAAGCCGGACAGAUCCACAUUGAUGUCCUCUGCUAUUCCCUCCAUUAUUUAUCAUAGCAUUACAGACCAACAGGUCAUGAUCAUUACUCCCAGUAGCAGCCAAUCCAAAACUGACCAAACUGAACAAACGCCUACCAUGAUUCUCCAUGUGUCUAAACCGUCAACCAGCACAACCAUCAUAUUUACAGAAGAUGCGAAAGAUGAAGAUGAUUUGUUCUCUGCAGUGACAGACACUAUGAAGGGAAGCAGCAUCACUUCUGAGCGUACCACCAAAGAUGAUAAAAUCAUUGAUGCAGAUUCUAUAUCCAUAGUUCCCGCUUCAUUUUACCCUACCAUCCAAACAGAGGAAGCUGGAGGUGUCACACCAGUUACAAUGACACGAAAUUUGGAGGUAACAGAGGAAUCUGAGGGUUCAGGGACAGAGAGUGCCACCUUCUCUCCUCCAGAACCAAUAACUCUAUAUGCAACGUCAACAAGUUAUUUGCCAUUAGACUCAACAUCUUCUGAAUAUUUACCAGUCACUUUAAAUCCAUCAACCGUAGAAGGUGUGUCAAGUAUUCAGACAUCCACUGAUGACACUGUUACAUCUGCACCACAGUCCACGCCAGCAACUACUCUUUCCACAAAGUCAAGCUCUGAAGAAACAACAGAUUUAUCUACACCGCAUACAGGUUUCCUUAUUGGAACUGAUACCAAACCUUUUCCAGAGCAGGCGGAAGAGGAUUUAUCAGGGAAGGACACUGCUGAUAAUGUCACCCACUCUAUAACUGAGAUCACAGCUUCCUCAUCUUUGCCACCUCAAACUCUAACUGGAACAUCAAACAAAAGCUCGGUCCCUCCUGUGUCCAGUGAGGAGUAUAUUAUUAGCACAGUUGCCAUCACACCCACACCUGCGUCCACUGACCCCGCCACAGUGAAAUCAAGUAGUGAAGCAGUGAUAUCUACAGUCUCUUCACCGUUCAGCACUGAGAGACCAACUGUUGCCCUGGAUACAGGACUAAAAGAUGGGGAUAUUUCAGUGAACCGAAACCAAAGUAUGCUCACUGAGGGCAUGCCAACUUCACCUGUAACGGUUUCAGUAAGUUCACGUGAACCUUCCACCGAUGGGACUAAAAUUGCUGCUUCCAGUCUUUACAGCACAGAGAAGCCAACUGUCACACCAUCUUCUAAAGUUACUGGGAAAGAUAGAUCACAUGAUGACACUUAUUUGACAGAGCAUGUGACACAGACGGCCGCUUUUCUGCACAGCACAAUGAAAAUGGACCAAAUGCUAACAUUAUCCCCUCCUUACAGCACAGAUAUGUUUUCACUUGAGUCUGAAUCAGAAGGAAACGGAAGCGGGGAAACACAAGACACAGACUUAACAAGCACACAUCAAACCGAUAGUGUUACGCUUGCUGCAAAAAUCUCUACAAGCACACAGAUCACAAUAGUGAACACCACAAUGCCGGAAGAUCUCAUUUACUUUGAACCUACUUCAAAUGGCUCAUCAGCAUCACCAUCGUCACAGGCAGAUGUUAUAGUCCAAUUUGUCACAACAGAUUCCCCUGUACAUCACCUAACAACCACCCAGAAGUUAUUUGAACAGGCAAGGUCAGAGGUCUCACCAAAAAACAGUUAUAGAAUCGUCAACUUUGCCUACAGCGUCUUCUCUGGUCGCUGA